CAUCUCACAGGUGCUUGUUCAGAACGACAUCCCCGGUCCUCAUACUUGAAGUAUUUCCUACCCCAACUUAAGUUUAAUUUGCAGGGCCUGUGCUACAAACCUGAGAGAGUAGAGAGAAGGUCACAUGAGACAUAUAGCAAGAAAGUGGUCAUCUAAAAGCCAGGAAGAAAGCUCUCACCAGAAACCAAAGUUGCUAGCACCUUGAUCAUGGACUUCUAGCCUCCAGAACUCUUCCAUCUCCGCCGGAGAUCCCAACAAGACAACAUGCCUCCCAAGAAGCCUGAGCCUAAGAAGGAAGCGGCCAAGGCUGCCCCAGGCCCUGCCCCGGCCUCAGCUCCUGAGCCCCCCAAGGAACCUGCCUUUGACCCCAAGAGC